rnacentral:rRNA from 1 species
AUUGAACGCUGGCGGCAGGCCUAACACAUGCAAGUCGAACGGUAACAGGAAGCAGCUUGCUGCUUCGCUGACGAGUGGCGGACGGGUGAGUAAUGUCUGGGAAACUGCCUGAUGGAGGGGGAUAACUACUGGAAACGGUAGCUAAUACCGCAUAACGUCGCAAGACCAAAGAGGGGGACCUUAGGGCCUCUUGCCAUCGGAUGUGCCCAGAUGGGAUUAGCUAGUAGGCGGGGUAACGGCUCACCUAGGCGACGAUCCCUAGCUGGUCUGAGAGGAUGACCAGCCACACUGGAACUGAGACACGGUCCAGACUCCUGCGGGAGGCAGCAGUGGGGAAUAUUGCACAAUGGGCGCAAGCCUGAUGCAGCCAUGCCGCGUGUAUGAAGAAGGCCUUCGGGUUGUAAAGUACUUUCAGCGGGGAGGAAGGGAGUAAAGUUAAUACCUUUGCUCAUUGACGUUACCCGCAGAAGAAGCACCGGCUAACUCCGUG